AUUGAACGCUGGCGGAAUGCUUUACACAUGCAAGUCGAACGGCAGCACGGGUGCUUGCACCUGGUGGCGAGUGGCGAACGGGUGAGUAAUACAUCGGAACGUACCCAGUCGUGGGGGAUAACGUAGCGAAAGUUACGCUAAUACCGCAUACGUCCUGAGGGAGAAAGCGGGGGACCGUAAGGCCUCGCGCGAUUGGAGCGGCCGAUGUCUGAUUAGCUAGUUGGUGAGGUAAAGGCUCACCAAGGCGACGAUCAGUAGCUGGUCUGAGAGGCUGAUCAGCCACACUGGAACAGAGACACGGUCCAGACUCCUACGGGAGGCAGCAGUGGGGAAUUUUGGACAAUGGGCGAAAGCCUGAUUCAGCCAUUCCGCGUGAGUGAAGAAGGCCUUCGGGUUGUAAAGCUCUUUCGGCAGGAACGAAACGCUCUAGAUUAAUACUCUGGGGUAAUGACGGUACUUGAAGAAGAAGCACCGGCUAACUACGUGCCAGCAGCCGCCGUAA
rnacentral:rRNA from 1 species